UACGUAGGGACCAAGCGUUGUUCGGAUUUACUGGGCGUAAAGGGCGCGUAGGCGGCAAAUUAAGUCAGCUGUGAAAUCUCCGAGCUUAACUCGGAACUGUCAGCUGAUACUGAUGUGCUAGAGUGCGGAAGGGGCAUCGGAAUUCUUGGAUGUAGCGGUGAAAUGACGUAGAUAUCAAGAGGAACACCUGAGGUGAAGACGGGUUGCUGGGCCGACACUGACGCUGAGUGCGCGAAAGCCAGGGGAGCAAACGGG
rnacentral:rRNA from 1 species